rnacentral:rRNA from 1 species
GACGAACGCUGGCGGCGUGCUUAACACAUGCAAGUCGAACGGAAAGGCCCUGCUUUUGUGGGGUGCUCGAGUGGCGAACGGGUGAGUAACACGUGAGUAACCUGCCCUUGACUUUGGGAUAACUUCAGGAAACUGGGGCUAAUACCGGAUAGGAGCUCCUGCUGCAUGGUGGGGGUUGGAAAGUUUCGGCGGUUGGGGAUGGACUCGCGGCUUAUCAGCUUGUUGGUGGGGUAGUGGCUUACCAAGGCUUUGACGGGUAGCCGGCCUGAGAGGGUGACCGGCCACAUUGGGACUGAGAUACGGCCCAGACUCAUACGGGAGGCAGCAGUGGGGAAUAUUGCACAAUGGGCGGAAGCAUGAUGCAGCAACGCCGCGUGCGGGAUGACGGCCUUCGGGUUGUAAACCGCUUUCGCCUGUGACGAAGCGUGAGUGACGGUAAUGGGUAAAGAAGCACCGGCUAACUACGUG